UACGUAGGGUGCGAGCGUUGUCCGGAAUUAUUGGGCGUAAAGAGCUCGUAGGCGGUUUGUCGCGUCGACUGUGAAAACCUGGGGCUUAACUCUGGGCCUGCAGUCGAUACGGGCAGACUUGAGUUCGGUAGGGGAGACUGGAAUUCCUGGUGUAGCGGUGAAAUGCGCAGAUAUCAGGAGGAACACCGGUGGCGAAGGCGGGUCGCUGGGCCGAUACUGACGCUGAGGGGCGAAAGCGUGGGGAGCGAACAGG
rnacentral:rRNA from 1 species